AUUUUCUUUAAAGGGGUGUUUCACCUCCUAAAAGUGAGAUUGGUGGGCAUGUAUAAAAAAAUACGUGUAUCCCAUAUUUUUAUCUGUACUACAACAUAUUAAAGGCUCGUCAAAAUCGGAGGAAAACACUUCCGUAGCACACGGACGGGUACGCGUACCAUGCGUGUUUUUAAUUAUUUUUAAGAGACGUUUUUAAUUAUUUUUAGAACAUGUCGGAACAUAACUUUAUCAUACAUCGUUAAAUUUGUAAUAAAAUAAACUUUAUUUUGCUUAUAAAAAAAAUUAAAAUUAAAAAAAAAACAGUUUCGAUGAUAUACGCUUCAAAAGAAAAAAACCGAUUUUUUUUAAAGGGGUGUUUCGUCCUUAAAAGUGCAUUGGACGUAUAAAAAAAUACGUGUGCCUUAUUUUGAUCUGUACUACAACUAUUAAAGGCUCGUCUAAAUCUGAGGCGAACACUUCCCAAAGGUUACUUGUCAGAUUUCCUGCAAUUCCUACAGGGACUCGAUUAAUGAACAGCACUGUACAAAGUAUGUAAUAUUAAUAUUUUUGUAUAAAAAAACUACGCAAUCUAAAAUUCUGUGUACCUAAAUGACGCUGAGAUACAAUAUGCAGACGUGUGAAUGUAAUUUGAUAUAUCUUAUAUAAAAUCAGAAUUCCAGAUAUCUUGUGAAAGACAUUGAUGUGCAAUUUAUAAAAUUGUAUAAAAAUUAUACGAUUUGUGAAAAUUGCUUUUUAUGACGUAUAAGAUCUUGGAUAACUUAUUCAACGAAACACGUAUUCUGAUAUUGAGAAUUGUCUUUUUAUAUUAAAUAUUAUAUUUUAUAGAUGGUAAGUAGUAUUGCUACAUAGUCGCUGUGCGUAAUGAAGUAUUUGAAUAAUAGCGACCAUUGUGCAUUCAACUUUUGCUGUCGUUUUAAUCGAUUUUAACUGUAUUACUGUGAUAAAUAAAAUCAAAUUAAAUAAAUUUCAAA